rnacentral:rRNA from 1 species
AAACCUUACUAGGGUAUGACAUCAGUAUGAUUGACAGAUUACUUGAUCUUUCUUGAUUUGGUGGGUGGUGGUGCAUGGCCGAUCUUAGUUGGUGGGGUGACCCGUCUGGUUAAUUUCGAUAACGAACGAGAUCCGAGCUAUAUAGUUAUAUGCGUCUGACGUUCAGUCGUAUGUUUCCUAUAUGGACUGUCAGUUAGAGACUGAAGGAAGAUUCGGGCUAAAU